GGUGCAACACAAAUGUGAAGGCGACUUGAAGGACGGUCGGGAAACUGCGGGUCUGCGGCGGUGAUGCCACUGAAACAACUGCCAUGGCAUUUCGAUGCCUCUUCUUCACUCUCAGACGUUACGCAUACUCAUCAAGGAGGUCUAUUUCCUCAAAAACCACGCCAAUGGAUGAGGCAGCAUGUACCUGUAAAAGGGAUGACCUCACGAGCAGGAUGUUGAAGCUCGUAUUCCCUAGGCGAAGCGCCACCGCGGUGCUUCAGAACUGGAUCGAUCAAGGCCAUAAGGUCACCGCUUCCGACCUUCGUAAUGUCUCCAGACAACUUCUGAAAUCCAAGCGCCACAAACACGCACUCGAGAUAUUGGCAUGGAUGGAAGCUCAAAACCGAUUUCAGAUGUCAGCAGCUGAUCAUGCCAUCAGAUUGGAAUUAAUCAUAAAAAUCCAAAGUUUAGCAGAGGCCGAAGAGUAUUUUGAACAUUUACCCAAUUCCUCUUCACGGAAAGCGGCAUGUCUACCUCUUCUUCAUGCUUAUGUAAAAGAAAGGGCUAUUGAAAAAGCUGAGGCUCUCAUGCUGAAGCUGAAUGACCUGGGGCUGACUGUGAGCCCUCAUCCAUUUAAUGAAAUGAUGAAGCUUUAUAUGGCUACAUCUCAAUUUGAGAGAGUGCCCACUGUGAUUCUGCAAAUGAAGCAAAACAAAAUACCCUUAAAUGUUCUAUCCUACAACCUCUGGAUGAGUGCUUGCAGUGAGGUAUCUGGGGUUGCUUCAGCAGAGAUGGUUUACAAAGAAAUGGUGGAUGAUAAGAACGUGGAAGUGGGGUGGAGUACCCUUUCUACUCUAGCCAAUAUCUAUCUGAAAUCUGGACUUAUCAAGAAGGCCAAUUUGGCCCUAAAAAACGCAGAAAAGAAGCUAUCUGCUCAUAAUCGCCUUGGUUAUUUCUUCCUUAUUACAAUGUAUGCCUCUUUGAGCAAUAAGGAGGAAGUUCUUCGGCUUUGGGAAGCUAGUAAAAAAGUGGGAGGUAGAAUCACAUCUACCAAUUACAUGUGCAUAUUGUUGUGUUUGGUAAAGCUUGGUGAUAUUGCAGAAGCUGAGAGAAUUUUCAGGGAAUGGGAAUCCAAGUGUUGGAAGUAUGACAUUAGAGUCUCCAAUGUCCUUCUGGGUGCAUACAUGAGGACUGGAUCAAUGGACAAAGCUGAGUCAUUACAUCUUCACACAUUGGAGAGAGGUGGGUGUCCAAAUUAUAAGACAUGGGAGAUUCUUAUGGAGGGAUGGAUGAAAAGCCAAAAUAUGGAUAAAGCCAUCAAUGCCAUGAAAAAAGGGUUUUCCAUGUUGAAACAUUGUGAUUGGAGGCCAAACCAUGGUCUUGUAACGGCCAUUGCAAGGUACUUGGAGGAGCAUGGGAAUGUUAACGAUCUGAAUCAGUAUGUUAAAGUUAUUCACCAAUUAGGUAUUGCAAAUUUACCAUUGUAUAAAUCUUUACUCAGAAUGCAUCUGCUCUUUCAAAGACCAGUCUUUGACAUCCUUAAAAUGAUGGAGAAGGAUGAAAUUGAGAUGGAUGAUGAGACUUCUGCCCUUGUUCAAGCCUUCAAAGUGUAAGCAGGAUUAGUGCUGUACGAGGUAUCUUAAUGACUUGCUAUGGAUGCCAGAAUUCUACUUCCUGGAUUGUAUUGUUUUUUGGGAUCAAAACCUUUAAGCAGGGAAAAAGGGAUAAGCGAGGAUGACAGAGGAGAAGAUGCUAUAAAUGAGGAAAGAACUAUAUUGGUCUCAAAGGAGUUGGUUCUCUGUUGUUUACAUGCUGAAGUUCUCAUUAUUAACAUGCAUUACCCAAAGUAUCUUAUACAAACCACAUGCAGAUGCCCUAAAGCCAGCUCAUUUGGAGAUGGCAGUAAAACUUCAAGUCAAUGCAGCCAUCAACAUCUUGUGGAAUUCUUUGGUGUGCACUAGCAAUUUAUCUUGAGGUGGCAAACAUUCUUUGAUAAUAGGAAGCUCGAGGAAUUUCUGGAACCAUGCACUGAGCAAAUGCAUCAUCUCUACAUCAAUCAUGUUUACACCAGCAACUUCCUCAUUCAUUCGAGCCCAGCAUCCAAUCCAGCCAACAGCAAUGUCUAGAAAGCCUAUUGUUUCACCCCCAAAAAAGUGCUUCCCCUCCAGAGCACUCUCCAGAGUUUUCAGAUUCUCUCGAAGCUCCUUUGCAGCUUGCUCUUGCUCCGCCCCUACCUUGGAAAAUGCUUUAAACAUUGCUGGCACACUGAAAAGGGAGAAUGAUCAAAUAUUGAUUUAAGUGAGGUCAGUAGUACUUUGCAUGCAGUUUAAUUGGAUAGAAAUUUUGUGCUUGCUUCUCCUACAACUUAAAAUUUAUUCACUCACACAAAGAUACUGUGGUGUUCUAAGAGUCUAGGAAGAUUUUGUGGUCCAUUACGACAAAGUUUUAACAAUUGAAUGGUGCUAGAAUACAAGAUUUGGAGCCACCCAUGGUGGAUACAAGAGUUUAAUCCUGUAAUAUGUGAAAGACAAAAAGGAAGGUAUUCAUUCCUGUACCUUCUCAUCUUCAAAUUUCGCCCAGAAACGUGCCUUGGCCCUUUGAUAGGGAUCUUGUGGUAAGAGUGGAUUAUGCUUCCGAACUUCAUCCAUGUAUUCAAUUAUCACUAGUGAUUCAGCCAAAGGCUUACCCUUGUG